CUACGGGAGGCACCAGUGGGGAAUAUUGCACAAUGGAGGGAACUCUGAUGCAGCAACGCCGCGUGGAGGAUGACACUUUUCGGAGCGUAAACUCCUUUUAUAUAGGAAGAAGAUGACGGUACUAUAUGAAUAAGCGCCGGCUAACUCCGUGCCAGCAGCCGCGGUAAUAAGGAGGGCGCAAGCGUUACUCGGAAUCACUGGGCGUAAAGAGCGUGUAGGCGGAUUAAAAAGUCAGAAGUGAAAUCCUAUAGCUUAACUAUAGAACUGCUUCUGAAACUCUUAAUCUAGAAUAUGGGAGAGGUAGAUGGAAUUUCUGGUGUAGGGGUAAAAUCCGUAGAGAUCAGAAGGAAUACCGAUUGCGAAGGCGAUCUACUAGAACAUUAUUGACGCUGAGACGCGAAAGCGUGGGGAGCAAACAGGAUUAGAUACCCCGGUAGUC
rnacentral:rRNA from 1 species